CCCAGCCGCUCCACCUAUGGUAGGGGAGGAGGCCAGCAGCUGUCUAAUGAAGGACGCUCACCUGGAACGCCCUCCAGAGGCCUCAUUGGACUAUGCCUGGCGCCGGCCAUUCCCUGUUGGGGAAGGGCCCCGGACACGCCCCCGGUCCUGGAACUUCAUCCUAGUGGCCCCCACUUCCGCCUCUGCGCUCUGGGGCUCCAGGCGCCUUGGGCGGGCCAGAGGGCCGGGGCCUGGAGCGCCCUCGGGCGAACCCCAGUCUCGCGCUGCGGAUGACCUUGGCUGAGCCUGGACUUCCUCGUUGCACUAGCAAGCAGCCUGCAGGUUCCAUCCACUGAGAGCACAGCGAGGAAGCUGUCAGCACGACGGCGGACAAAGUGCAUGCUGCACUGCCCUCAUGACCUAGGUGGUGCUUCCCAGUACCUACCACAGUAGGACCUAUCUUCGAGGAGACACACCAAGGAAGCCUACUUGCUCUCAUACAUAAGUAGUCCUGCAGGGCCCUGCACACUUGGACAGCUCUCAGAUGCAGAAAAUCACAAAAGCCAGAAGCUUCACGGACAGUAGGGAGAUUGCUUGGAGCCAACAGGAAGAAGGGGAAAUUGGAAAGCACAGAGAAGUGGCAGUCUGUCCUUCACCUGUCCUGUAGUUAGCAGUGGUCUCAGUACAGACAUCACGGUCUUCCACUCCACUUACCUUUCAGGAACUCUUCCCAGCAGCACCUGGGUCUCGGCAAAGACACGGAGUAGGCUUUGGCCUAAGUGUCCCUUCUCAGCUUCAGGGUCCCCUGCUACCAUCAUAACUCUGCCUUGCCCUCCCAACUUCUCCAUUAAGCUGGAGAAAAACUGGAUUUCAAUCUUCCAGCUUUUCAAUCCACCUUUACAAAGCCUCAUGCUUCUCACUUCUGCAGCAGCAGAAUGCCAAUUCCAAAUUACUGAAAUAAAACAGGAGCACACAAAACAGUGACUCUAAAAAUAAAUAACCUAUGGGCUGGGGCUGGGGCUCAGUGGUAGA